GAACGCCGUGUGCGAUGAAAAUCGCCCGCACGGUGUAGGCUCGAAUCGAAAGCCCUCUGAAAUAGAAGGGUAUAAGUCGAGAAAAGCAAUCAAAU
rnacentral:ncRNA from 1 species